rnacentral:rRNA from 1 species
CACGUAGGGACCAAGCGUUGUCCGGAUUCAUUGGGCGUAAAGAGCUCGUAGGCGGUUCGAUAAGUCGGGUGUGAAACCUCCAGGCUCAACCUGGAGACGCCACCCGAUACUGUCGUGACUAGAGUCCAGUAGGGGAGCGUGGAAUUCCUGGUGUAGCGGUGAAAUGCGCAGAUAUCAGGAGGAACACCGGUGGCGAAGGCGGAUCU